rnacentral:sRNA from 19 species
GUCAACUACCCACCUCUAAAGAGGUAGGCUUGUAAAAGAGCCUGGUUGACCAGCCUAAGUCUUAACUGACUACGUUAUAUAAGUCAUGGUACCUAUGGAUGCUUCUCCAGUCCGUAGCUCUAUC